AGACCGUGGAACUGCUAGGGGCAGCCAGCAAAUUCGUUAUAUUGAGGUGUGGAGGAAAAGCUCAUUUGAUUUUGGAUCUAGACUACGAGUAUUAGCAACUAGAGAUUAGAGCAGUGGAAUAUCUUUU